AUUGAACGCUGGCGGCAUGCUUUACACAUGCAAGUCGAACGGUAACAGGUUAAGCUGACGAGUGGCGAACGGGUGAGUAAUGCAUCGGAACGUGCCCGGUCGUGGGGGAUAACGCAGCGAAAGCUGCGCUAAUACCGCAUACGAUCUGAGGAUGAAAGCGGGGGACCGUAAGGCCUCGCGCGAUCGGAGCGGCCGAUGUCAGAUUAGGUAGUGGGUGGGGUAAAGGCGCACCAAGCCGACGAUCUGUAGCUGGUCUGAGAGGACGACCAGCCACAAUGGGACUGAGAAACGGCCCAGACUCCUACGGGAGACAGCAGUGGGGAAUUUUGGACAAUGGGCGCAAGCCUGAUCCAGCAAUGCCGCGUGCAGGAAGAAGGCCUUCGGGUUGUAAACUGCUUUUGUACGGAGCGAAAAGGCUCUCUCUAAUACAGGGGGCUCAUGACGGUACCGUAAGAAUAAGCACCGGCUAACUACGUGCCAGCCGCCGCCGUAAGAC
rnacentral:rRNA from 1 species